rnacentral:rRNA from 1 species
GACGAACGCUGGCGGCGUGCUUAACACAUGCAAGUCGAACGGAAAGGCCUGCUUUCCCUUGUGGAUUGCGGGUACUCGAGUGGCGAACGGGUGAGUAACACGUGAGUGAUCUGCCCCCAACUUGGGUAUAAGCCUGGGAAACUGGGUCUAAUUCCCGAUAGGACUGCAGGGUGGUGCCUGUGGUGGAAAACGAUUUUCUAGUGGUUGGGGAUGAGCUCGCGGCCUAUCAGCGUGUUGGUGGGGUAAUGGCCUACCAAGGCGGCGACGGGUAGCCGGCCUGGGAGGGGGGACGGCCGAAUUGGGACUGGGAUACGGCCCAGACUCCUACGGGAGGCAGCAGUGGGGAAUAUUGGAGAAUGGGCGGAAGCCUGAUGCAGCGACGCCGCGUGGGGGAUGACGGCCUUCGGGUUGUAAACUCCUUUCGACCGCGAGGAAGCCACCUGGUUGGAAGGGUGGUGACGGUAGUGGUAGAAGAAGCACCGGCUAACUACGUG